rnacentral:sRNA from 1 species
UGAGUGGCGGCCAUUUACAGAUGUCCUUCUUCAUGUACCAGUGAUAUUUUCUAGUUACAGUAAAACACGGUUAUAACGAACACGCUUAUAAUGAAUUGAUGCUUACAGCAAAGUGAUUUUCAUUCUGUGUGACUUUAUUACAUAUUGUUAACUUGACGGAUACACUGUAUAACGAAUUAUGCUUAUAUUAAAGCAAAAUUGCUUGUCCCUGGCACUUUGUUCUAAGCGUGUUUUAAGGGAGACAAAGAAUUUGGUUCUUAAAAAUUAUUUCAUUAUGUUGUUUUUUUUUUUGGGGGGGGGGGGGGGGGGGGAAGACUAGUGUGUUGUUAUCCGAUAGUUGAUUUCUUGCCAACAGAUGGAUUAUCAGGUCUCUGUAUAAUGAGAUAAAUAGGAGUAAUGUUCGGUUUCCUGGAAGAACUUAUAAAUGGUUCCUUCUAUAAGAGAUUGAACACACCUGUAGUGUCUUUUAUUAUGCGCUUUAUUUCACACAGCUUUGACUACCAGUUUGUUUUUGCUGUUUGCUUUUUAAAAUGAAUACUGUCUAUUGUACAUUACAUUUUUAUUUCAGCAAGUUUAGGUCAAAUUAAAGCUUCUUUGUGGCAGCUUUUCUUUCUUUUGCAACUGUGUACUUCUUUUGUCAUUUUGUAUUGGGAAUUUUUAUGAUUGACCAAAAAUCAAAACAAAGAUAGAGGAAUAGAUGACAUAGUUUAGGGUUUUUUUUUAUUACCGAACCGUUCAUUUUUUAAGUCUAAAGUUAUAAAUUGUGAUUGUUAAACUGGUGUAUUAAAUAAGUUUAACAUGGUUUUGAUUUUUCGCUGGACUGGCAAUAUUAUGUUAUAAUUGUUGACCUGUAAGCUUUGAUUUGAAUUGAACAAUUGUGUGAACUGUACCUGUAAUUCAUGCAAGUAAAAUGGAUAGAGACGAGGCCAUAUGGAUACUGUAUAUAUAUAUAUAAUAUAUUUCUCAUUAAAUGACACACAAAAACUAAUCCAGUGUCUGUUAGUGGGAGGUGGCAUUAGACAGUGAGAUAAUUAUUGUACUUCUAUAGGCUGUAUCAGCAGUUAGUUUUUGUGAAUGCAUAAUAUGAACACUUGAGUCGUUUAUCCUGCAAGUGAUGUAAUUAGCUGUGUGUUUGUUUAUAGCAUCUGCAUUGUUCACAGUGUUCAGAUCUUGCAGACUUUAUGGUGAAAGAGGUGUUAAUAAUUAGAUUGUAUUGUUAAUUAUUAUUUUAAAUUUAAACUGUGAUAUCAAAAUGAUAUGUUUCAUUUGAAAUAAAAUUCAUAUAAA